GAAAUGCCCUAAAGAGCCCUGGAAAACUAAAAUGGAGCCCCUGAAAUUCAUAUAGGGUCCAAUGUAAACUUUAACACAAAUUAGGAUAUUUGGGCUAGUGAGCUCAAAAAAAGCCCAGGAAAAUAAAUUAUUAUCUUUUUUCCCUGAUAUUAAUUUGAAAUUCUUAAGGCAUACAUGUAUUGGAUGCACUCAAUUAAUCAUAAUAAUUUUUAUCCCUAGUACCUGCAGUCAGUUCUGGAAGAACCUGUAUUGGAGGAAUCAGUUCCAAGCAGCAGUUCAACUUCAUCAAGUUUCAAGGCAUCUUCUUCAGUGUCCAAAUAUCCCGAGGUGCUUGACACCAAUCUUGCCUUUUAUGAGGAACCUGAUUCCAUCUCAGAUGUACAUGAUCCCACUGCUUCAGAUGUACAUCUACAAGCAAGAAGCCAUGAAAAACGUUCCAAGUCAAGGCGGCGGCGGAAACGAAAGAAGAUUUCUUCAGAUGAUGAUAAAGGAGAUCUGGUUAAAGUUCAUGUAAAUGUAAGCUGCCAAACAUUCCACUCAGGUGUAAAGAUGACACAAGACAACUUUACACAAUGUCCAGAAGACUUCUCAUAUGUCACUGAUGAGCACAAGUACUCGUGUGGAAACACCCAAC